GGACAAUGGUUAAUUUUGUAAAGCAUUCUGUUAUGCCAACUGGCCUAUUCAGUUGUUUGCUUUUCUUUUUCUUAUAAUUUUCUUUUCUUACCAUUUCAUUCGUGUGUGUGUGUGUGUGUGUGUGUGUGUGUGUGUGUGUAAAGGUAAAGGGACCCUGAUCAUUAGGUCCA